AAUUGGUUAGGAUAGGAAAUUUUUAUUACAAUCCAUUCAGAAAUGUAUAGUAAUCUAUAGGAAACUACCAUCAUCGGACAAAAUUUGUCCAUAAACGAUCGAUGAACUUUCAUGAAAAAAAAUAAAACGUAAUAAAUUGUUUAUUUAAAAUAUUAACAUAUAUGUCACAUAGUUACGUGAUUUAGCUCAAAUUAAUAUCGUUUAAAAUAUUAACGUUAUAACAAAUUUCGGGGAUCAAACACAAGUUGCAAAAAUUAUUGAGUAGAUAAAUUAUUUAUUAUGAAAAUAAUAGGGGUCCACGAAAAAGAGUGUUAUUGGCGCGCUUUUAGCGAGAUUUAGAGUGAUCCUCGAUAGAUCAGCGAGGUAGACGCGAAGGUAGAAAAUGGACGAAUGCAAGUACAAGCGAAUGCACCGCGUGCGUAUAUUGCCACAAUAUCACGUGCCGGAGGCCUGCCGCGACCGCGGCCAAUGGUUGAGUAGCAUGUAGGAGGAAAAUCAUCGGCGUGACGACCGAUCGAACGAAAGGGGAAAAAAAAGAAUUAUUUUUUUCCACGACGAAUCCAUUGAAAAAAAUUACACUUACCGAUAUACAUUAAUGCAGAAAUAAUCGCUUUGGACUGGCUUCACGUCGUCGAUAUUACUGUGGUCGCAAAAUUACGUGAUCCUUAAGGAACGAGGUAAUCCGCCGUCUCUUUCUGCAUUCAUCUCCCUCGGGAAUGUCGCGAACGAAGAACUCGCGAUAGGAUUCCGCGAAGAAGGAAUGGAAGUACCUAAGCGGAUUUUCUUAUGGAUUCGUUCCAUUCGCAUUCCUAUAUGAUUCAAGUGCAGCAGUAUUUAAACUUAAAUGUUUGUAGCGUCAUCUACCAUCUAUCUUCAGCAAUAUGUUCAUGAGGAGAUUGUAAUGUCAGCAAUCGAACAUGUAGGAAAUAAUGAAAGCUUAUCACACAAAAAUUGGAAAUAUACAAAUAUAAGAAUUUUAAUAAUAAUGUAGUAUAAUAAUUUCUUUAUACAGAAAAAAUAU